rnacentral:rRNA from 1 species
UACGGGGGGUGCGAGCGUUGUUCGGAAUCACUGGGCGUAAAGCGCACGUAGGCGGAUCGUUUAGUCAGGGGUGAAAUCCCGGAGCUCAACUUCGGAACUGCCUUUGAUACUGGCGAUCUCGAGUCCGAUAGAGGUGGGUGGAAUUCCUAGUGUAGAGGUGAAAUUCGUAGAUAUUAGGAAGAACACCGGUGGCGAAGGCGGCCCACUGGAUCGGUACUGACGCUGAGGUGCGAAAGCGUGGGGAGCAAACAGG